CCUACGGGAGGCAGCAGUAGGGAAUAUUGCUCAAUGGGGGAAACCCUGAAGCAGCAACGCCGCGUGGAGGAUGAAGGUUUUCGGAUUGUAAACUCCUUUUGUUAGAGAAGAUAAUGACGGUAUCUAACGAAUAAGCACCGGCUAACUCCGUGCCAGCAGCCGAGGUAAUACGGAGGGUGCAAGCGUUUCUCGGAAUCACUGGGCGUAAAGGGCGCGUAGGCGGGAUAGCAAGUCAGAUGUGAAAUCCUAUGGCUUAACCAUAGUACUGCAUUUGAAACUGUUAUUCUAGAGUAUGGGAGAGGUAGGUGGAAUGCUUGGUGUAGGGGUAAAAUCCGUAGAGAUCAAGAGGAAUACUCAUUGCGAAGGCGACCUGCUAGAACAUAACUGACGCUGAUGCGCGAAAGCGUGGGGAGCAAACAGGAUUAGAUACCCCUGUAGUC
rnacentral:rRNA from 1 species